rnacentral:piRNA from 1 species
UUCCACAGACCCGGAACUCCUACUUCCUC